GUUGCAUAGAGCUGUUGAAAUGAUCAAGAAAUCAAGUGGAAGAGUAUCCAUGGAGCGCCUACUACAUCCACAGCUUUGGCUAUAGCAUCGCCCAUCACAGGACUAUCAAUGAAAACGACAGUAAUGAUAUUGAUAGAUAUCAUUCAUUCACUGCCUUUUCUGUGCCGGGCAUUCUUUUGGACAAUCCUCACAGUAAGCCUUUUAUCUCCAACUGACAGCUAAGGAAAUAGACUACAAGAGGUUGACUAACUUGCCCAAAGCUACGGGACUAGUUAAGGGGCAAGGCUGGGAUUCAGGCUCAGCUUAGUGCCAAGCCCCAAAGCCAGGAAACACGUGAACACAGGAACCGACCAAGUCAAUAGAGAAAUGUAUGGAAUUGGACGCUCAGGUUUGUGGUUCUGACAGUGAAUCUCACGGAAGUGGUAAAGGGAGAAAGUCUGUGGAAGCUCAAGUGGUGACAGAAGUUUCUGGAAGGAGUUGAGGCUGGAUCUGGAUUUAGGUGAGAAAAAAGGCCCUGAGAAGGAAAAUGACUCAACUCAAGGACACCCAGCCAGUUGGUGAAGAAGUUGACACCAUGUUCUACAGGAAUAAAACUGACUCCGUGGAACUGUUGUGAAGGUGUACAGAAGGUCCCGGGGUCAGACAUUAGGCGAGAGUCUGGGUGCACCAGGGCAGGGCAGAUGCUGCGAUGAGCAUGACUGUUGCUUCACUGAAUCCUCCUUGGCGUCUUCUAGCCACUUGGCUAUGGGCCGACAGGGAAACAAGCUUGUAGUGAUCAGAAGCUUCCUGUUGGAGGAAAGACACCUAGGAACACCUCCUGGCAAUUCAGGGUAAAACUUCACAGGAUAUCCAC
rnacentral:lncRNA from 1 species